GGUUUUUCUUAUUUGGUGGAACAAUUUGGAUCAUUAAUUAUGUUAACAAAUGAUACCUGAACCUGCUAACUAGCUAUGUAGAUAUUCCCCUUUGUGACCAACUUAUUAGAGGGGAUAUGGUCAUUUAAGACAUGGAAGUUUGAGGAAAUAAUAGGUAUGUG
rnacentral:ncRNA from 1 species